UAUUUGACCAUAUUCUUUUCAUUUUUGGGGGGAUCUUUCGUAUCUUUCCAUAAUUCUAAUGUAUCUAGGAUAUUUAUUAGAUAGGAUUUGAUUUUCAUAUUGAUUUGUUAGCUAGGAUUUCUAUUUCUAUUUUCAUUCAAAUUCUUAUUCCUUAUAGGAAUUAGGGUUUUGAUAUCUUAUUCCUUAUAGAAUUAGAAUUUCUUAUUAUUAGUAUAAAU
rnacentral:lncRNA from 1 species